rnacentral:rRNA from 1 species
ACGAGUAAUAGUGGAUCCCUUGGCUUGAUUAUCGACGAAGAGCGUGAGACAAAGCGAUAUUAGUGACUUUGUAAACUUGUUUAAGUCAAUUCUCGAAUAUACAUAGCAAUUUAUUGCAUUCAUGUUACAGAGUUAGUUAGUAUAUUGACAACGUUGUUUGUUGAUCCUAGUACAUACUUGACGAAAGUCUGAAACACAACCUGUGAUAUGAAGGAUGACGCGCCGAACUUAAGCAUAUCAAUAAGCGCAGGAAAAGAAAACAAAAGUGAUUCUUCUAGUAGCGGCGAGCGAAAAGAGAAUAGCCAAUCCUGAAUUCUAGUUGUAGGAUAGUCAUAGAUAAUAGGUAAAGUAGUUGGAAAGCUACAGGAUAAACAGUGAAACUCUGGUUGCCUAAAAUCAUCGACUUAAAUAGUAGCACUGUUUGAGAGUAUAGUGUGAAUAAAGGUGGUAUACUUCACCUAAGGCUAAAUAUAGAAUCAAGUCCGAUAGAGAAUCGAGUAAAGUGAUUGAAAGGUGAAAAGAUGUUCAAAAAGAGCACUUAAAAGACGUGAAACUAUUACUUGAAGGGUAAGUUGUGAUAGAACAUAAGUCAAACAGUUAAUAACUGGUUACAACUUUCCGACCGUCUCGAAACACGGAUCAAGGAGUUACGCUUAACUGCGAACCAAUAUGUGAAAAACAUAAAGGUGCAGCGAAAGCGGAAGUAUUCAAACACGUUAACACUCAGUUUACAGAGUAGUUAGGCGUAGACCCGAAAGGUAGUGAUCUUAACAUGACUAGAAUGAAGUCAGUCGAAAGGCUGAUGGAGGUUCGUAGAAGUACUGACGUGCAAAUCGUUUUUCAAAGUUGUGUUAAGGGGCGAAAGACUCAUCGAACCACCAAGUAGCUGGUUACGUUCGAAAUUUCUCUCAGGAUAGCACAUCGCUAGUAAGCUUCGACAGGUAGAGAUAAUGAUUGACAGAAAGUGGCCUUCGGGUAUGCCCUGGCUCUCAAACUUCGAAUAGUCGAGAUCUCAUGAUUUACCUCAAGGAAAUGCAGAGAUAGAGUUAAGCGAUGUAGUGGCACUAACCAGGUAAGCUAGUUAGUGAAGGACGAAUCAACGUUUAGAUAUGUUAAGGUGUGUAAAUUGGGUGCAUGAGAAAAAACGACGUGAACUAAUAUUGACAGCAGGAAGGUGGCCAUAAAAGUCGGAAUCCUCUAAAGAGUGUGUUACAACUCACCUGCCGAAUUAGUUUGCUCGGAAAAUGGAUCACGCUACAACCUAAUACCAACACAUAUCAAUUGACAACAAUUAGUAGAACGUGGUGGAGAGCGCAUAGAAGUUCUAGUGUGAGCUAGAAUGGAGCACUUUCUAAUCCAGAUCUUGAUUGAAGUAGCAAAUAUUCUGUAUAGUGCAGAACACUGAAGUAGAGAAGGCUUCCUCAGCCAUUAUAACAAACUGAGGGUAACUCGAUCCUAACUACGAGGCUAUGGCCAAAUAAAUAAGGAAAGGGAAUCAGGUUUACAUUCCUGAAGAAGCAUACAAAUGGUAACAGUCGUGUAAUCUAUAGGCUUUCGGUCGAUGCAAGUGGACGUCGCACCAUUUUAAUGCUAGUGUACGUAUAGAAGAAUUUAUUUCUAGAAAUAGGUACUAGAGCAAGAAUACUACAAAGUAGUGUGUUUGUCUGAAAGCUGCGUCAAAAUAGAUUAUGCAAUAAAUGCUUAUCGUACCGAUAACCGCAUCAGGUCUCUAAGGCAAGAAACCUUUAGUGAGAAGAGAAAACGACCAAGGGAAGUCGGCAAAUUAGCUCUGUAACCUUGGGAUAAAGAGUGGCUCUGGAUGUUCAAUAACGUAUAUAGGCAAAUAGCUUAUUUAAGAGUACGAAGUGUAGCAAUACAUUAGUAAGCUUUUGUAGGGUGUUGUUUAUGAAAUUAUUAAUAGAACAAUUCAGAACUGCAACUGACUAGAAGAACCCGACUGUAUAAUUAAAACAUAGCAUCAUGAUAGCGAUAACUCGUAUUGACAUGAUGUGAAUCCUGCCCAGUGCUAUGACUGUCAACGUAACGAGAGUUAUUUAAGCCCUGGUAAACGGCGGGAGUAACUAUGACUCUCUUAAGGUAGCCAAAUGCCUCGUCGAGUAAUUUUCGACGUGCAUGAAUGGAUUAAUGAGGUUCUUACUGUCCCUGGUCGUAUCUUCGCGAAACAACAGAUUGGUUAACUGGCCAAUAUAAAUCCUCUACGGGGCAAGAAGACCCUGUUGAGCUUGACUUCAGCUUGGAAUUGUAGAACGAUGUUAGUGGUGUAGCGUACAAAGGAGAGUAAUCGACAAUGAAACACUUUGGCAUUAUUCAUUGUU